GACGAACGCUGGCGGCGUGCCUAAUACAUGCAAGUAGAACGCACAGUUUAUACCGUAGCUUGCUACACCAUAGACUGCGAGUUGCGAACGGGUGAGUAACGCGUAGGUAACCUGCCUGGUAGCGGGGGAUAACUAUUGGAAACGAUAGCUAAUACCGCAUAAUAUUAAUUAUUGCAUGGUAAUUAAUUGAAAGGUGCAAUUGCACCACUACCAGAUGGACCUGCGUUGUAUUAGCUAGUAGGUGAGGUAACGGCUCACCUAGGCGACGAUACAUAGCCGACCUGAGAGGGUGAUCGGCCACACUGGGACUGAGACACGGCCCAGACUCCUACGGGAGGCAGCAGUAGGGAAUCUUCGGCAAUGGACGAAAGUCUGACCGAGCAACGCCGCGUGAGUGAAGAAGGUUUUCGGAUCGUAAAGCUCUGUUGUAAGAGAAGAACGGGUGUGAGAGUGGAAAGUUCACACUGUGACGGUAUCUUACCAGAAAGGGACGGCUAACUACGUG
rnacentral:rRNA from 1 species